GACGUAGGGGACGAGCGUUGUCCGGAUUCAUUGGGCGUAAAGCGCGCGUAGGCGGUUUGGUAAGUCGGAUGUGAAAACCAGAGGCUCAACCUCUGGCCUGCAUCCGAUACUGCCCGACUAGAGGUAGGUAGGGGAGAUCGGAAUUCCUGGUGUAGCGGUGAAAUGCGCAGAUAUCAGGAGGAACACCGGUGGCGAAGGCGGGAUCUCUGGGCCGUACUGA
rnacentral:rRNA from 1 species